rnacentral:lncRNA from 14 species
CUCCCUCCAACAGUUUUCUUCAAUCUUCCUACUAGGUGAUAGGCUGGCUCUUAAGUAGCAUAUGUGUACUGUAGGCUGUCCAGUGUUGCAGGCAGAGGGAUGACACUAGCACAGAACCCACAGAGGUGAGGGAAGCAUAGAAUUUUCUGUCCACCAAGGAGUAUGUGUUUCCUUCAGAAAGGUUUGACAACGUACAGAUUUGAAAAUUAAUGGGUUAAUCACCUGCAUAAUGGCUUUAUACCAACGCCAAAAGGAUCUUCCUGAAUUUUGUUUGCAAGUUUGAAUAAGCAUCUUCAAAUGCACUGCUGGGAGAGCACCUUUAGGAAGCAGGCAGGGUUGAGGAAGGAGAGUUGCUUCUUUCUUUUUCACAUUCUGGAAAUACUGAAAACAAGUUUCAUGUUGGAUUUUGCAUUUCUUUUAACAACAAGGGGAAAUAAGACUGUUCUUGGAAGCUACCUCCUCACCAUUUGUGCAGACUAUUUUCUCUGGGUGAGUUAAGGGCAAAAUCUCCACAACAUUAUUGCACCAGGUUUGUCAUCUCGCAUUUCAUAAAUCCUUGAAAAUAAGCUCCUGAAAAGUAGGGAUAAAGUGACAUUUGGGAAUGGGCUAAAAUCACAACCUACACAUGAACUCCAGCAAUGGUUGGGAGUUGGGUUACCAGCUCCUCCGUCUAUUUAGAAUGGCUUAGAGCUGGGUCUGAGCUGUUUGCUUAGCCCUGUUACGAACACAAGGGUUGAACUCCUGGCCCCCUCCCUCAUAAAUAAACUGAUGUCCAGGCUGAAGUCA